UUUUAAAAUAUUAACAUAGAAAAAAGUACCCUUAUAAUAAUAAUAUAAUAAGAUUUAUUAUAUAUUAUAUAUAUGUACAAAAAAAAAAAAAAAAAAAAAAAAAUUUACAUUUUUAUAAUUUUAUAAAUAUAAUAUAUAUAUAAACAACCAUUUUUCAAAGUAUUUAAUUUUUUAUAUGUUUCUUAAAAUUUUUAUAGAUAUAUAGAAAAAAUUGUAUAUAAUAAUAUUUUUAUCAACAACUAUUAUAUCUCUAUUUAUUUUUAUUAAAAUUUCUUUUGAAUUUUAAAUCUUUAGAUUAAUUCUUUUUAUAACACUACAAUACCGUUGGUAUAAAUUAAUGUAUAAAUAUAUAUAUGUAUAUAUAAUAUUAUAUUUAUUUAUAUUUUAAAUAUUUUACGGCUAUAUUAAUGAAUUUUUUUAUUUUUCUUAAAUUAUAUAAAUUUUACACGUUUAAACAAAUAAAAUUAUUUAAUAAAUAAACAUAUAAAGAAUAUAUAUAUAUAUAUUUUUUUUUUUAACGACUGAUACAAUAUUUACUGCUCACAGUUUUUAUCCAUUUUACUAAUUAAAUAUACAAAAAUUAUAUACUUUAAAACAAAACACAAUAUAUAUUUUUUUAUUAUUAAAUUAUCAUAUAAAUAUGUCAAAAAAAACUAAUAAUACAGAAGAUAACAAUAACAACAAAAAAAGCCAACCUACAAUUAAAUGUAUAACAAAAUGUGGUACUCAUACAAGCAACUCAAAUAUAAAGAAAGAUAAGAAAAAAAAAAGAUUCAAUAUCUUUUCCGCUAUUGCUAAAAAAUUUUUUUUAAGUGUUAUUGUAUAAAAUGUGCUUCUAAAUAUUAAUAAUGUAAGAUAAAAUCAAAAAAAAAAAAAUUUUUAAUUUUGUUUUUCUCAAUAAUAUCAACUUACAUAAAUUCAUAAUAUUUAACCUUAAUUAUUAUAUAUAUAUAUAUAUAUAUAUAUAUGUACAUAUCAUAUUUUUUUUUUUUUUUUUUCAAAUAAUACUUUUUUAUAGAAUGACAAUCAAUACAUUUAAGUAGGGAAAAUGUCCUAAAUUUUUAAAUACCUUAUUAAUAUAAAACCUUAUAACACACUCAACAAGAAAAUAAAGAUCAAUAUGAAUAUAUUAAUAAAUCAUAAUAUAUAUGAAAUAAUUAUAAUUUAAACAUCUAAAUUGAGUACAUGAAAAAAAAAAAAUAAUAAAUAAUAUAAAAUAAUUAAAUUUGAAGUAAUAAAAUGAAUAAAUAGUUAAUAUCAAAAUGUAAAGACAACAAGAAAUAUUAAAACAACUUAACACUAAUUACCAUAGUGGUUACAAUUCACUUAAGAAGAAAUAUCUCAAAUAAAUAAAUAAUAUAUAUUAAAAGAUUUAAAAAAGAAAAUCUAAAUUAUAUACUAUAAGGAAUAAAUAUAUUUGGAUAAAUAUAAACAUUUAUAUAUUUUAUAAUCAAACUUAUAACUAUAAGUAAUUUUUAGGUUCAUAUAUAUAUAUAUAUAUAUAUAUAUAUAUAUAUAUAUAUAUAUAUAUAUAUAUAUACAUAUAUUAAUUUUUUAUUAAUUAUAUCUUUUCGUAAAAUAAUACGAACAACAUGUUAUUUUUUUUUUAAACCCUAAUUUAUGGAAAGAUUCUUUCUUUCCAUUUAUCUUAUUUUAUUUGUUUAUAUUACUUUUUUCUUUUUUAAUAACAACAUAAAUUUAAAAUUUUCAUAUGAAAACUUAAAAAAAAAAAAUUUU
rnacentral:sRNA from 1 species